rnacentral:rRNA from 1 species
CCUACGGGAGGCAGCAGUGGGGAAUUUUGGACAAUGGGCGCAAGCCUGAUCCAGCAAUGCCGCGUGAGUGAAGAAGGCCUUCGGGUUGUAAAGCUCUUUUGUCAGGGAAGAAACGGCUGAGGUUAAUACCUUUGGCUAAUGACGGUACCUGAAGAAUAAGCACCGGCUAACUACGUGCCAGCAGCCGCGGUAAUACGUAGGGUGCAAGCGUUAAUCGGAAUUACUGGGCGUAAAGCGUGCGCAGGCGGUUUUGUAAGUCUGACGUGAAAUCCCCGGGCUCAACCUGGGAAUUGCGUUGGAGACCGCAAGGCUGGAGUCUGGCAGAGGGGGGUAGAAUUCCACGUGUAGCAGUGAAAUGCGUAGAGAUGUGGAGGAACACCGAUGGCGAAGGCAGCCCCCUGGGUCAAGACUGACGCUCAUGCACGAGAGCGUGGGGAGCAAACAGGAUUAGAUACCCUGGUAGUCCACGCCCUAAACGAUGUCUACUAGUUGUCGGGUCUUAAUUGACUUGGUAACGCAGCUAACGCGUGAAGUAGACCGCCUGGGGAGUACGGUCGCAAGAUUAAAACUCAAAGGAAUUGACGG